AAGUUUGCCAUGAUCUUUCUCAUGUUGACGCUGGUCGUCCUCAUGACUGAACCUGGAGAGUGUGGUUUUGUGCGUCUGGGACGAAGAUGGACAGAUUUCAAGCGUGGUAUGGACUCAUCUGGAGGGCCUGCAGAACAAGAAGUUGUCCAACAGGAUGCUGAAGCCUAUAAUCGCUGAAUUGAAAGAUCACACCAAGAUGCAGUUUUCAAGCUGUAUGAAUUGGGGGGAAAUACAUUACCACAUUACCCCAGACCAGUGAUCUCAGUUCUAACUGGUUUUGGAAAAAUGUCAAACUGCUUGAUAUUGCAAAAUGCAAAAAGUCAAACUCUGCUUUGUGUUAUUUAUGAAUACUACAAAACAAAAUAAAACUUACUAAAGACGUCUAGUGGGGACCAACUACAACCAUUAGAUUUUACAUUAAUUUGCUUUGGGUGGUGCCCAACAUGGCUUCAGUACUCCACCUGAGCCUUAUAAAGGUGGGGAAAACCCUGACUGAGCUAAGAUAUUAUGUAAACCUUGAUGUUAAUGGAAGACUCUACACAACUUCUAAGUUUCUUCACAGAAAAAGAGCUUGAAAAACAUGUAGAUGAUAUCAUGAGGUCAGAAUCUGAGAUUAAAACACUUUGUGAACAUGGCCUUAUCUCCAUCUUGAUAAAGAUUUGGGCAUGGUGAAAAUUUCAGCUUGUUAUUUCAACACUGACAGUAUAAUUUCACU